rnacentral:rRNA from 1 species
UACGGGGGGGGCAAGCGUUGUUCGGAAUUACUGGGCGUAAAGGGCUCGUAGGCGGCCAACUAAGUCAGACGUGAAAUCCCUCGGCUUAACCGGGGAACUGCGUCUGAUACUGGAUGGCUUGAGAUUGGGAGAGGGAUGCAGAACUCCAGGUGUAGCGGUGAAAUGCGUAGAUAUCUGGAGGAAUACCGGUGGCGAAGGCGGCAUCCUGGACCGACAUUGACGCUGAACGGCGAAAGCUAGGGGAGCAAACGGG